rnacentral:lncRNA from 10 species
AAACCCCGUCUCUUCUAAAAAUACAAAAAUUAGUCAGGUGUGGUGGCAUGUGCCUGUGAUCCCAGCUACUCAGGAGACUGAGAGAGGAGAAUCACUUGAACCCGGGAGGCGGAAGUUACAUUGAGCCAAGGUGGUGCCACUGCACUCCAGCCUGGGUGACAGAGCAAGACUCCAUCUCAAAAAAAAAAAAAGAAAAAAAAGAUUGUAAAGACAAGGAGAGAGGAUGUGAUGACUCAUGAAUGAACUGGCCCUUAAAGCAUUUUCCCAGAAGUGUAUACAUCUGUUCACAUUUCACUGGCCAGAGUAAAUCACGUGGCCAUGCCUGGCAUCAGCAUGGGCAGUAAAAUGCACUCUUAUUAUGUGCACAACAGAGAAGAGGAAAUAGGUCAGUGGGCCACACUGAUGACUCUCCUCCAGGAGUGUAGUGUUGGGGAUGGCCUGGCCAUCACAGUGACACACUACGGUCAACGUGACGGGAUUCAGGAGAUGGUAAAAUUGAUGGAAAAUCAGUAUUCUUCAGUGGUAUAAUCUAAAACAAGAUAUCCUUUUAAAAUGCUCUUUGCAAUAAUUUUUCCAUUGCAUAGAGCAGCAAUCACAAGUAUA